UUGUUGGGUAGGGGAGCGUUCUGUAAGCCGUUGAAGGUGGUCUGUGAGGACUGCUGGAGGUAUCAGAAGUGCGAAUGCUGACAUAAGUAACGAUAAAGCGGGUGAAAAGCCCGCUCGCCGGAAGACCAAGGGUUCCUGUCCAACGUUAAUCGGGGCAGGGUGAGUCGACCCCUAAGGCGAGGCCGAAAGGCGUAGUCGAUGGGAAACAGGUUAAUAUUCCUGUACUUGGUGUUACUGCGAAGGGGGGACGGAGAAGGCUAUGUCAUCCGGGCGACGGUUGUCCCGGUUUAAGCGUGCAGGUGUGUGCUCCAGGCAAAUCCGGAGCGCUUUAACACUGAGGCGUGAUGACGAGGCACUACGGUGCUGAAGUGACAGAUGCCCUGCUUCCAGGAAAAGCCUCUAAGCUCCAGGUAACACGAAAUCGUACCCCAAACCGACACAGGUGGUCAGGUAGAGAAUACCAAGGCGCUUGAGAGAACUCGGGUGAAGGAACUAGGCAAAAUGGUGCCGUAACUUCGGGAGAAGGCACGCUGGUGCGUAGGUGAAGUCCCUUGCGGAUGGAGCUGAGACCAGUCGAAGAUACCAGCUGGCUGCAACUGUUUAUUAAAAACACAGCACUGUGCAAACACGAAAGUGGACGUAUACGGUGUGACGCCUGCCCGGUGCCGGAAGGUUAAUUGAUGGGGUCAGCCGUAAGGCGAAGCUCCUGAUCGAAGCCCCGGUAAACGGCGGCCGUAACUAUAACGGUCCUAAGGUAGCGAAAUUCCUUGUCGGGUAAGUUCCGACCUGCACGAAUGGCGUAAUGAUGGCCAGGCUGUCUCCACCCGAGACUCAGUGAAAUUGAACUCGCUGUGAAGAUGCAGUGUACCCGCGGCAAGACGGAAAGACCCCGUGAACCUUUACUAUAGCUUGACACUGAACAUUGAGCCUUGAUGUGUAGGAUAGGUGGGAGGCUUUGAAGCGUGGACGCCAGUCUGCGUGGAGCCGACCUUGAAAUACCACCCUUUAAUGUUUGAUGUUCUAACGUGGACCCGUGAUCCGGGUUGCGGACAGUGUCUGGUGGGUAGUUUGACUGGGGCGGUCUCCUCCUAAAGAGUAACGGAGGAGCACGAAGGUUGGCUAAUCCUGGUCGGACAUCAGGAGGUUAGUGCAAUGGCAUAAGCCAGCUUGACUGCGAGCGUGACGGCGCGAGCAGGUGCGAAAGCAGGUCAUAGUGAUCCGGUGGUUCUGAAUGGAAGGGCCAUCGCUCAACGGAUAAAAGGUACUCCGGGGAUAACAGGCUGAUACCGCCCAAGAGUUCAUAUCGACGGCGGUGUUUGGCACCUCGAUGUCGGCUCAUCACAUCCUGGGGCUGAAGUAGGUCCCAAGGGUAUGGCUGUUCGCCAUUUAAAGUGGUACGCGAGCUGGGUUUAGAACGUCGUGAGACAGUUCGGUCCCUAUCUGCCGUGGGCGCUGGAGAAUUGAGGGGGGCUGCUCCUAGUACGAGAGGACCGGAGUGGACGCAUCACUGGUGUUCGGGUUGUCAUGCCAAUGGCACUGCCCGGUAGCUAAAUGCGGAAGAGAUAAGUGCUGAAAGCAUCUAAGCACGAAACUUGCCCCGAGAUGAGUUCUCCCUGACUCCUUGA
rnacentral:rRNA from 1 species